GACGAACGCUGGCGGCGUGCCUAAUACAUGCAAGUAGAACGCACAGUUUAUACCGUAGCUUGCUACACCAUAAACUGUGAGUUGCGAACGGGUGGGUAACGCGUAGGUAACCUGCCUGGUAGCGGGGGAUAACUAUUGGAAACGAUAGCUAAUACCGCAUAAUAUUAAUUAUUGCAUGAUAAUUGAUUGAAAGAUGCAAUUGCAUCACUACCAGAUGGACCUGCGUUGUAUUAGCUAGUAGGUGAGGUAACGGCUCACCUAGGCGACGAUACAUAGCCGACCUGGGAGGGUGAUCGGCCACGCUGGGACUGGCACACGGCCCAGACUCCUACGGGAGGCAGCAGUAGGGAAUCCUACGCAAUGGCCGAAAGUCUGACCGAGCCACGCCGCGUGAGUGAAGCAGGUUUUCGGAUCGGAACACUCUGUUGUAAGAGAAGAACGGGUGUGAGAGUGGAAAGUUCACACUGUGACGGUAUCUUACCAGAAAGGGACGGCUAACUACGUG
rnacentral:rRNA from 1 species